rnacentral:piRNA from 1 species
UGAGGACUGUUCUCCUCAAUAAGGAGCUGC